GGGGCUAUAGCUCAGAUGGAAGAGUACUUGCAUGGCAUGCAAGAGGUCAGCGGUUCAAUCCCGCUUAGCUCCACCA
rnacentral:tRNA from 1 species